UUUUGAUUUUAAUCUCUAACAUUCUCGUAAACAUAAGAAAACAUUAUGCAACACAUUCUUUUUGUUUUUCGUAUAAUUAUGAGAUGUCGAGAAGUACAUUUUGCACUCAAUAUGGUGUCACGUAUUUUAAUUUAAUAAGUAUAUUUAUUGUGGUUCUAGAAUUCGUUAAAAAACGUGCCCGCAUCAGUUCAGCGGCUUCGAAACUGCGAAACAUAGAAAUAAAAGUAUGUGCUUAUUUUUUGUUACAUGCGAAUGACGGAGAAUACGCAAAAAUACAUUGCAAAGAUACACACCAAUUUAAUUUAUACGGAUUACAAAAUCUAUAAAACCUCUAUGUAACGAUAAAAAAAUACAUUAAAUUUAUUGAUACUCCAAAACACUGUAAUGUCCCGCGUCCAAAUACCCUGAAAAGAGAAGAUGUUUCACUGUCCCUCCUCUGCCGUAGUCUAUAGUACGCGAACAUCCUUGUCUAUGCACCUUGAACGUAAAGCUCGGGUACAAUUCACUCACGCAAUGCAAUUCUACAUGACCGGCGUACUCUCCGUCCCGGGACAUCAAAAUUUCAUAAUCUUGGGCACCCUUAAUGUCCAUCCCGUAAGACCUGUCUCCAAUUAUAAAGUCUUUAUAUCGAUUCCAAUUAGUGAUUAUUCGAUUGACAACGUUAAGUCGAAUCUCUCGGUGUCGCUCUUGAGUGCCGUAAAUACAAUACGAGACAGAUCUAAACAUGCAAUUCCCGUCUCCUCUGAUGGGUAUCACUCGCCGGGACAUAAUUAGUCGAUUAUCGAUUGUUAUCUUUUGUCAUCGUCGCGUCACUACUGUUGACAUAACUCGUGAAAUGACUUAUGAGUUUCAAAGAAUUAUUGUAAAGGAUUUCUUAGUAUUUCGUUUAAAAUAUAAUUUGUCACGGAUAUAUAAUUUUGAUUCACUGUUUUACAAUAUUUAUUUAUGUGUAUAAUUCCGUAAAUUCCGAAACGUUGACUUAACAUUGACAGAUAUUUUAGGGGUGCGUGAGUGGAAAAAUAAAACCAGUGAGUUUAAAAAUGACGGAAUCUAUUAUCGUUUGUGUGUGUAUUGGUUAAUGGUAUGUAUGCUGAGAAGAUGAGAGAGAAUGUCGUCGAGAUAAGGUCUAAUAUCAUAUAUAGCACAUAGACACAGCGAUGAACUUGGAGUUAUUUAUUUACUUUUGAAACUGCAUAGUCAUAUAAUUUGGGAUACGAAGAUCAAGAAAGUACCAAAGAACUCGACGGGAGCUUUGCGAGUACAAUAUUUGUUUGUGGGAAUAGUGUAUUUGCCUUUGCGCUGUUGCAUUUUGUAUGUAGCUUUUGCGAGCGUAAAAUUAUCAAGAAUAUUGUAACGUAUGCGAAUUACAUUGAAAUGUGUUUGCUUUUAGCGAAUGUUAUUUAUGUAAGAAAGAGAAUUUUUGAAAAUUUUAAGAUUCAUGUUUUAUACGCUAUGUGUAUUUCUGAUAUUACAUUCUUACGACACAACAAAGAUAUUUUGUAAUAUGAUUUUGCUUUGUAUAUACUUUUCGUUUUAUUCAAGUUCUUCUAGAUAGUAAAGUAUAACCUCAAAAUUAUAAAUACGUUGUAUUUAUGCUUCUGUUAGUGUUUAUGUCUUUAUGGUUAUAUAUCAUUAAUGAUGUCAUUGAUGAUGUCUUCCUAGCAAACUGGAAAAACAUAUUUAACUUGAGCUAAGACUGGGUAUCCUCUAGUCGCGCUUCUGCCUUUUGAUGCGCUUUUACGUGACUUGUAAAGCCAAUAUUAUUUACGAAAGUACGAGCGUACUUUGGGUACGUAAUUAUAAUUAAUGGCCACAGAUGGACAGAGCUUUAGUUGGUCUCUUUUCUUAUCAAUUUCCUUACGACGAUCAGUUUCGAAGGUGUCUACCUGUAAUUGUAUGAGACGUCUCCAUUCUGGGCAUCGUCUCGCCAUCGCCUCCCUUGCAAAGGGCUCUAUAUUUCAUCUCUUCCUAUAUCUUUAAUAGCUGCAAUUACCCUAAUAUAAUAUACUGUAAUGACAAUUGUAUGAAUUUUCCCAGAGGACAGAGUAGAUUUUAGAUUCAUUUCUAUCUAGAAGGCGUGUUCCUAAAGAAAUUACUCCGUCCACCGAGGCUAUUCUGACAGAUAUCUACCUGAUAUACUCCUGUUCGUCCAAAGUUACUAAUGCAAUUUCCGCAAACGUGGAAGUAAACGUGUUCCUGGUGCAUCGUUAUCAAAUUAUCAGCAGUAAUUUUAGCUAGCAUCCUAUUAGAUAUGCUUUUUGAACUUUAUCCUUCCUGAUCGGUAUGUCCCUUGGGUUUCCCUUCACUUAUUAUUAGGUGUAUUCACUUGGUCGAGAUAAAACUAUUCAUUAAUUUAUUUUUAUUACUAUUAUCACCCAGAGUGGUUGGUGAGGAUUUUGUAGUGAGAUUAUGGCGCAAAAUCAUUAAUAUAGUCAGGGCCCUGACACUGACUAUUUUCGUAGCGUAGUUGAAAUGCGUACGUAGUACGAAUAUAAUCACCGUGCUGAGGUUUUCGGUACAAAUCCCGAGUAAGUUUUUCCAUCUUGAAAAUUACUCAGUCGCAGCUUGGAUUCAAGUAGGCGGUGUGAUACCCCGUGCCUCGGUAAGCACGUAAAGCUGAUCCAGCGACUGAUCUCUCUACGGUCGUGUCGGAUUGUCGUCUCACCGAAGUAUGAGAGUGAAGGAACAAAGUGCAUUGGCAUAUCGCACAUAUUUGUGCACUAUAAUAUCUCCUGCAUACUUGAUCUUCGUUGAAAUUGCCGUCCUGGCAGUAAUUCGGCUAGAAGGAAUUCUAUCUGGGGUCUAAUUAAUCUAUUAUACAGCAAGAUCAAUUUGUUUUGACUUGAAAACUAGUGAAGCAUAAUUUUGAACUAUAUUUACCGUCAGUUGCUGUAUGGACAAUUCUAUUCCGGUAAAUAUAUUUAUGAAUCCAUCACUAAGAUGAGUAGCAUACGGUCUUAUUGUACCGCAUACUCUAUAAUUACAAUAAUGAUGUCAAUUCCAAAUGUUGGUAUUAUUUAUUUAUUUAUUUCAAUUAGAACGGAUAAACCAAUUACACUAAUUAAGGUACUGGUAUAUGUAAGGAAAGUUUCACACCGCCCGCCUCGUGGUCACCCUGCGCCGGCGCACGCACACGCAUCUCAUUGGCAUGGUGGGUGACUCCCGCGCCUUUUCCCAGAUAUCCCGCGUAUCGUGUGUACUGUGUUCACACGCUUUAUCGAACUUCGUACAAAACCGCUUUACUACUGUUAUUAUAUACACGUAUAAAUAUAUAAAUGCCGCCCAGCUCUUUAAAACGAAAAGAAGAGGAAGAAAGAAAGAAAAAAAUCUUUCAUUCGUGGUCAAGUAAAGUUAAUGAUCUUUUUAUAUUGGCCAAGCAUGCUUUUCUAUAAAUUCGCUUGCCUUAACAUAACCACGGAUGCAAGGACCAGGCCUAGUUGGCACAAACAAAUGAAAUAACAAUUUAAAAAAAAAACAUUGAUAUUUUUUGGUGGCAAUUGGCGUCUCGCACUAUAAAAAAAAAACUCGGAACUUUAGUAUACGCUGUAAAUAAAACCAAAUUAAAAGAAGAAAGGUAUUAGUAAGAACAUAUUCAGAGAAACGUUAGGUACACUAUUAUUUAUACCUCUCUUCCUUACCUAUAGCCAUCUACUCUCAGUUGUUGCCGUGACGUUAACACUCAACACGCUGCGAUGUUACUAACCACAACUGUUGUCCAGUGGUCUCUCGACUGACGUGCGGUAGAGGGAAAUAUUUAGUCUUCAAUGAUCGCUGUAUAUAUGUUACUUAUAUAAACAUACUAGCUGACCCGACAGACGUUGUCCCGUCUUAACUAUGA